rnacentral:tRNA from 4 species
GCCAACGUAGCUCAGUGGUAGAGCAGCUGUUUCGUAAACAGCAGGCCGUGAGUUCGACUCUCACCGUUGGCU